rnacentral:rRNA from 1 species
UACAGAGGGGGCAAGCGUUAUUCGGAAUUAUGGGGCGUAAAGAGCUCGUAGGCGGUCUGUCACGUCGGAUGUGAAAGCCCGGGGCUUAACCCCGGGUCUGCAUUCGAUACGGGCAGACUAGAGUUCGGUAGGGGAGAUCGGAAUUCCUGGUGUAGCGGUGAAAUGCGCAGAUAUCAGGAGGAACACCGGUGGCGAAGGCGGAUCUCUGGGCCGAUACUGACGCUGAGGAGCGAAAGCGUGGGGAGCGAACAGG